rnacentral:rRNA from 1 species
UACGUAGGUGGCAAGCGUUGUCCGGAUUUAUUGGGUUUAAAGGGUGCGUAGGCGGCUUUGUAAGUCAGUGGUGAAAUAUGGCAGCUCAACUGUCAGGGUGCCAUUGAUACUGCGGAGCUUGAGUACAGAUGAGGUAGGCGGAAUUGACGGUGUAGCGGUGAAAUGCUUAGAUAUCGUCAAGAACACCGAUGGCGAAGGCAGCUUACUGGGCUGUAACUGACGCUGAGGCACGAAAGUGUGGGGAUCAAACAGG